CACUGAUGCAAUGCUACAUUUCUACAAACCUGAUGAAGACACACACUCAUCCUGAUCUUGGCGCGGACGGAAGCGGACGCGAGGAAACCGCCAGAGUUCACGUCCCAUUUUUAAUCAAUGUUGUGUUGUUAUUCUGGAAUCGUGCUUUUUUUUUUAUCCGCCGUCGGACAGAGUUUUAUGCAGUUAUUUAUUCCCGCUGAUGAGAAGAGCGUUUCCUCGUGAGGAUUGAGUGUAAACCACAGCGUUUCAGCAGCUCUUCUGGGAUCUUUACAGUCGGGUUAUAGAUGAAUCCCAAUGCCUUGGCGUCAGUGUUUUUGUUUUUUGAUACAGGAAGAGAAAGAGAGACACUAAUAUAGGUGAUGUUUCUCCUCUCCGGUGUGGAUAUUACAGUGAAUAUGCAUUAAAACGGAUCUUCAGUA